rnacentral:rRNA from 1 species
AAAGGCCAAUCAAACCGGGAGAUAGCUGGUUCUCCCCGAAAGCUAUUUAGGUAGCGCCUCGUGAAUUCAUCUCCGGGGGUAGAGCACUGUUUCGGCAAGGGGGUCAUCCCGACUUACCAACCCGAUGCAAACUGCGAAUACCGGAGAAUGUUAUCACGGGAGACACACGGCGGGUGCUAACGUCCGUCGUGAAGAGGGAAACAACCCAGACCGCCAGCUAAGGUCCCAAAGUCAUGGUUAAGUGGGAAACGAUGUGGGAAGGCCCAGACAGCCAGGAUGUUGGCUUAGAAGCAGCCAUCAUUUAAAGAAAGCGUAAUAGCUCACUGGUCGAGUCGGCCUGCGCGGAAGAUGUAACGGGGCUAAACCAUGCACCGAAGCUGCGGCAGCGACGCUUAUGCGUUGUUGGGUAGGGGAGCGUUCUGUAAGCCUGUGAAGGUGUACUGUGAGGUAUGCUGGAGGUAUCAGAAGUGCGAAUGCUGACAUAAGUAACGAUAAAGCGG